rnacentral:rRNA from 1 species
GAUGAGCGCUGGCGGCGUGCUUAAAACAUGCAAGUCGAGCGAGUGAGUUCUUCGGAACGAUCUAGCGGCGGACGGGUGAGUAACACGUGGGUAACCUGCCUCAUAGAGGGGAAUAGCCUCCCGAAAGGGAGAUUAAUACCGCAUAAAAUUAUCGAGUGGCAUCACACGGUAAUCAAAGGAGUAAUCCGCUAUGAGAUGGGCCGGCGGCGCAUUAGCUAGUGGGUGAGGUAACGGCUCACCAAGGCGACGAUGCGUAGCCGAACUGGGAGGGUGAUCGGCCACAUUGGGACUGAGGCACGGCCCAGACUCCUACGGGAGGCAGCAGUGGGGAAUAUUGGGCAAUGGAGGAAACUCUGACCCAGCGACGCCGCGUGCGGGAUGAAGGCCUUCGGGUUGUAAACCGCUUUCAGUAGGGAAGAAGCGAAAGUGACGGUACCUACAAAAGAAGCACCGGCUAACUAUGUGCCAGCAGCCGCAGUAA